rnacentral:rRNA from 1 species
CCUACGGGAGGCUGCAGUAGGGAAUAUUGCUCAAUGGGGGAAACCCUGAAGCAGCAACGCCGCGUGGAGGAUGAAGGUUUUCGGAUUGUAAACUCCUUUUGUUAGAGAAGAUAAUGACGGUACCUAACGAAUAAGCACCGGCUAACUCCGUGCCAGCAGCCGCGGUAAUACGGAGGGUGCAAGCGUUACUCGGAAUCACUGGGCGUAAAGAGCGCGUAGGCGGGGUAGCAAGUAAGAUGUGAAAUCCUAUGGCUUAACCAUAGAACUGCAUUUGAAACUGUUAUUCUAGAGUAUGGGAGAGGUAGGUGGAAUUCUUGGUGUAGAGGUAAAAUCCGUAGAGAUCAAGAAGAAUACUCAUUGCGAAGGCAGCCUACUAGAACGUAACUGACACUGAUGCGCGAAAGCGUGGGGAGCAAACAGGAUUAGAUACCCUAGUAGUC